rnacentral:lncRNA from 1 species
GUUCUUUCACUCCCCCGCGCGUGAGCUCCUGGCAGCCUCACCCUUUUGCACAUGACACGCCUCCCCGGGUCUCCCGCAGACAGGCCUCGCUCCUCCCUCCGCCAGGCCUGCCCGGGAGGCCUCGACCCGGCGAGGUGACCCGCCCCAGGGUCGCCGGCGCGAGGACGGGGCUGGCGGUGCAGCGGAGCUGCUUCCUCAGAGCCGCUUCCUCAGAGCCGCUUCCUCAGAGCCAGCUGCGGCGGGCCCGGGCGGGAACCACGGGAGCCCAGUGCACCAGCCUCCUCGGUGCUACCGCGGGACACAGAGGAAACAGCCACAGCUGGUUUCCGUGGGCAGGCCCCGGGCUGAAACUAGAGCCAGGGUGCGGCCGGCGGGGGACAGGGAAAGAGGUCACAGCGAAGACUCAGAAGAAACAAAAGAAAAGCGAAUGUAAGAGCUUCACCACCUUCCCACUCCAGGACGGUGGACAACAAGAGGUUUGAAAGCUGUGAUGUCCUCACUGUCUUCCUUCCCUCUCAUGGAAUGAAAAGUCGUUUUUGCCAGAAUAUUAUACCUGCAAGAUCUCAUGGGGAGGAGACUGCAGUCUACCCGCUGGAGAUUUUUGCCUACAGAAAGCUUCCCUUUUUUUGCAACCCAGAGACAGACUUUAUAGCCUCUCCAACUCCCCUUGAAUUUUUAAGGGAGAGAAAGAAAAGCCCCAAAGUGAAAGAUAGUGGUCAUCUAUGCCUUGGAAAGAUAAAUGGGUGUUUUGGUUUUGUUUUUAAAUGAAUUUUCCUUUUCUAAAGAAUUUCUUUCAAAAAAUUAGUGGGAGUUGAGGUGAGGCAUGUGUUUUAUAUUUUUAUAUCCACUUUAGUAGGUUUUAAUAUAACGUCUUGAGUCCCUUUUGAAUUUCUUUAUGACCCAGGUCAAGCUGCCCUGAUUCAGGUUCCACACUGCUAAAAAUUAAAUUGUAGCUUCCAUCCAUGUCACAAAUAUGUAAGCUGGGGAGGUAACCUACUAUCAGGCCAUAUUUACAGAAUGGCUAAAAAACUAAGCUAAACUUCUCGAAGAUGUCAAUACCUAAGUGUCUUUGGGAUACUUCCUGAUACUACCUGUGAGAAUCUGUUCAUUUUUUCUUUUAAUUAGGACUUUAUUUUACUGAAAAAAAAAAUAUCUUGAAUGAAGAGAGCCAAAGUACAUGGUGAUGUGAGUGUGAGUCAUGGAACUUCUUCUUUUCUCUGAAUAAUUUUUUCACUUAAGAAGACAUCCAGAUACAUUCAGAUAAUUUGACUAUUUGCCGACCUCUUGGAUGUGCCAUAGAUUCUUAUGCAUUGGAUCCUUGAAGACUUACGCUUCAGGAUGGCAUGCCGGACACACAAGUUCACUUCCCCCUUGCAAAGCCACAUGACGUUUACGGUAAAGAAAUAAGGCAGAAAUAAAGUCAUGACACUGUGACCAGAAGGAAGGCCAUCCGAGAGAAAUAUACUUUUGUGAAGUUCUUGGCAAGAAGAAAGAGGAGAGGACCAGGCCGGGCACGGUAGCUCACGCCUGUAAUCCCAGCACUUUGAGAGGCCAAGGCGGGUGGAUUACAAGGUCAGGAGAUUGAGACCAUCCUGGCUAACACGGUGAAACCCUGUCUCUACUAAAAGUACAAAAAAUUAGCCAGGCAUGGUGGCGGGCGCCUGUAGUCCCAGCUAUUGGGGAGGCUAAGGCAGGAGAAUGGCGUGAACCCAGGAGGCGGAGCUUGCAGUGAGCUGAGAUCGUGCCACUGCACUCCAGCCUGGGCAACAGUGCAAGACUCCAUCUCAAAAAAAAAAAAAAAAAAAAGAGAAAAUUGAUAAUUUGACUAUUUGCCGACCUCUUGGAUGUACCAUAGAUUCUUAUGCACUGGAUCCUUGAAGAUUUACACUUCAGGAUGGCAUGCCGGGCACACAAGUUCACUUCCCCCUUGCAAAGCCACAUGACAUUUACAGUAAAGAAAUAAGGCAGAAAUAAAGUCAUGACACUACUGUGACCAGUGCAGUGGCAUGACAAUAACUCACUGCAGCCUCAAAUUCCUGGGCUCAAGGGAUCCUCCUACCUCAGCCUACUGUGGAAUAAGUGAGACCACAGGCACGUGCCACCAUGCUUGUCUAAUUUUUUUUUUUAAGUACUGGUAGAGAUGGGUACCUUGCUUUGUUGCCCAGGCUGGAGUGCAGUGGUGCGAUCUCGGCUCACUGCAACCUC